rnacentral:rRNA from 1 species
ACACUUGGUCUCUCUUUAAGACUCACAAAAUGGCAAGCCUGAUCCCGUCUGAUCUCGGAAGCUAAGCAGGGUUGGACCUGGUUAGUACUUGGAUGAGAGACCACCUAGGAAGACCAGGUGCUGUAGGUG